UACGUAGGGUGCAAGCGUUAAUCGGAAUUACUGGGCGUAAAGCGUGCGCAGGCGGCUUUGCAAGACAGAUGUGAAAUCCCCGGGCUCAACCUGGGAACUGCAUUUGUGACUGCAUGGCUAGAGUGCGGCAGAGGGGGAUGGAAUUCCGCGUGUAGCAGUGAAAUGCGUAGAUAUGCGGAGGAACACCGAUGGCGAAGGCAAUCCCCUGGGCCUGCACUGACGCUCAUGCACGAAAGCGUGGGGAGCAAACCGG
rnacentral:rRNA from 1 species